AGCUGAACUUUCAGGAAGAUAAGCAGCCCAGACUUGAGUUUCUAGAUGUAUACAACCAGGUGCAUGUCCAAGGCACAGAGGGUGGUAUUUAUAACCCAUAGUAACAUUAAAUGCAGUGUCUUAUUCUCCUGGUUGGGCAGGGCAACAGUUAUCUGUGGCUCCAGGCAUCCACACACUAUUGUUAGUGUAGAUUUCUGCAGAAGCAUCUAUCCAGGUGAGAGGUUGAAUAAGUGGAGGAAAAGGCACAUAAGCCCAAUAAGAAUAUUUAUGUGUAGCAGGUAAAUCAGUGUGAGAGGAAACUGGUGAGACAGAAAGUAUAAGGAGGAGAAUCAUUAAAUAAAACUUAUUGUAAGUGAGAUUCUGAAGAAGGAAGAGAAGAACAGUGUUAAGUAUCCUGGCAAAGGAGCAUUAGGGUUACAGAUAGAAUUGAAGUUGCUCGUCAGCUGAUUGAAGAUAAGGAGAUUGGCCUGGAUUAUCCAGGUAGGCUCAAUGUAAUCAGGAAGGGCCUUUAAAGUGAGAGAGGGAGGCAGAAGAGGAAGUCAGAGCGAUGUGCUGUGAAAUCUACUACCGUUUGCUGGUUUUGAAAAUGGAGAAAAAGAGUGAGGAACUGAGAAACAUGGAUGGCCUUGGGAACGUGGAAAAGGGUCACUGAAAUGGGACGACAUGAACUCAAGGAGGCUAUUUAUGACCAUGUCAUUUGCAACAUGAAGAAAGCUUAUCUGGAGUGAAAGUAAAUGAGACCAACAGAGAUGAGAGACCCGGAGAAAUCCUGGUUACACUGCUUGAAUCCUACACAUACUAACAAAAGGCCACAUGAGGACACAGUGAGAAGCUGGAAGUCUACAACCCAGAAGAGAGCCCUCAACAGAACCUAACCAUGCUGGUACCCUGAUCUCAGACAUCCAGCCUCCAGAAGAGUGAAAAAAUAUAAUUCUUAUUUCUAAGCAACCUGGUCUAUGGUAUUUCAUUAUGGCAGCCCAAGCUAAGACAGAUCCCUAUCCUAUUCACCAUGCUGCAGAGCCACAUGAGCCUCCCUUUUGUUCCUCAAGCUCAUCAAAUACCUCCUAGCCUUAGAACUUGCUAUUCCCUCUAACCAGAAUUCUCUUCCAGGUCUUUCCAUCCUGUAAGUCUUGUCCUUUAGAUCGAAAUUCACAUGUGACCUCCCCUGAGAAUGGUCCUCUGAAAACCUAUCUCAAAGAGUGUUCCCAGUUACUCUCUACCUUACCCCCAGGUUAUUAUCUUCCCACCACUUUUCCAUAUUUGUAAUCAUUUGCUUUUGUAUAUGUGUGAUAUGGUUAGGCUUAGUGUCCCUACCCAAAUCUCGUGUUAAAUUGUAAUCCCCAGGGAGAUUACAAUUUAGGGAGAGACCUGGUGGGAAGUGAUUGGAUUAUGGGGGUGGGUUCCCCCAUGCUGUUCUCGUGAUAGUGAGUGAAUUCUCAUAAGAUCUAAUGGUUUUGUAAAUGGUAGUUUUUCCUGUGCUGACUCAUUCUCUCUCCUGCUGCCUUGUGAAGAGGUGCCUUCUGUCAUGACUGUAAGUUUCCUGAAGCUUCCCCAACCAUGGGGAACUGUGAGUCAAUUAAAC
rnacentral:lncRNA from 10 species